rnacentral:lncRNA from 1 species
GCACCUGGCCCACAAGACGUGCGUGCAGGAGCUGACGGCGCACCGCAAGAAGCACGAGGAGGCCGUCCACGCCGUCGCCUUCCACCCCAGCCGGGCCCUCAGCGCCAGCGCCGGCGCCGACGCCCUCGCCAAGGUCUUCGUGUGACACCCAGGGGACGGGGGGGGGGGGGGGGGGGGGACACACGGGCCCCCCCGCGUACCGGGGGGAGGGGGGGCCUUUGUCACCUUCCCUGCCCCCGGGGAGCUGAGACUGGUCUUUACCUUGGAGCUCGUGACACCCCAGGGGCAGCCCCGGUCGCUCUCCUGGUGCCCCCCCCCCCCCCCCCCCCCCUCCCCAGGGAGCCUGGCUGGGGGGUGCAGGGGGGCACCUAUGGGCUCUCUAUACCCCCCCGGGGGCAAUUAUGGGCUCUGUAUACCCCCUGGGGCAGUUAUGGGCUCUGUGUACCCCUCUGGGGGCAAUUAUGGGCUCUAUAUAACCCCCUGGGGCAGUUAUGGGCUCUGUGUACCCUUCUGGGGGCUCUAUUUACCCCCCCCCGGGGCAGUUAUGGAACUCUAUAUACUUCCCCGGGGCAAUUAUGGGCUCUGUGUACCCUUCUGGGGGCACCUAUGGGCUCUAUAUACCCCCCUGGGGCAGUUAUGGGCUCUGUGUACCUCUCUGGGGGCAAUUAUGGGCUCUAUAUAACCCCCCCGGGGCAGUUAUGGGCUCUGUGUACCCUUCUAGGGGCACCUAUGGGCUCCAUAUACCCCCCCCGGGGCAGUUAUGGGCUCUGUAUACCCCUCUGGGGGCAGUUAUGGGCUCUAUAUACCCCCCCCCGGGGCAAUUAUGGCCUCUAUAAACUCCCUGUGGGGCAAUUACAGGCUCUGUGUACCCCCCCCCCCGGGGCAGUUAUGGGCUCUGGGUACCCCUGGGGCGGGGGUACUUCCAGGCUUUAUAUACCCCCCUGAGGGGUACUUAUUGGCCCUAUAUACCUCCCCUGGGGGCAGUUAUGGGCUCUAUUUCCCCCCCCCAGGGGCACUUAUGGGCUCUAUAUGCCCCCGAGUGGCAAUUAUGAGCCCUAUAUACCUCCCUGGGGGCAGUUAAAGCCUCUACAUACCCCCCCUGUCCCGUCCCCCCCCCCCCCCCGGGGCAGCUGUGGGCCCCGUCUCGUCCCGGGGGGGUGGGGGGGGGCAGCUCUCCAUACCCCCAGGGGUAGUUAAGGGCUCUGUGCCCCCCCCCCGGGGCAGUUACCGUCUCAGUCUACCCCCUGAGGGGACACUACACCCCCCCACCCCCCCCGGGGGCACCCGUGGGAUCUGCCCCA